AUUGGACUACAUUUUUUUAUUCAGGUAUUCACUCACACCCUCUCUUCAUUGGAUUUCAGCUUCAGCUUCAACUAUGAAGGUAGUGGUAAAUAAUUGAGCAAAGAGAUGGGGUCAGUGAACUGAUGAAAGUAACCCAACAUAAAAAAUAUGGUAAUGGGAUCUGCCUUCCGUACAUCAGCUCUACUGUACAAGAAUUCAUAUGACAAAUGCAGUAUUCCCUACUUUUCCGUUCCGUACCUUAGUAAGGCUGUGUUUAUUACGUACCCUCCUAAGUUGAAACCUGGAAACUAUUCAUGCACACAACAUUAAAACUAUAAUAUAUCAAACAUACCGUUUAAUAUACGAAGCUAAAUUCAAACAUACCAUCUAAGGCUCAAAUAAACGGCAGAAAUAUUCAAACACAAUUAAUUAAUGGACGACAUAGCUAAUUAGCUAAACCUUGGGGGUUGGUGUGGUCUAAUUAGCAUUAAUAUUAAGUUUCCAAAAACUAAGCAAAUGUAAAUCUAGACAGGGUAAUGUGUAAUAAAAGUAGAAGGAAUUGAAGCAGGUAGAGGAGGAGAGAUCAGGUGGAAGAUGAGUGGGAUGGGGACCCAUCGGACACCUUUGGGAAAUAGUCGAGGACAAAGAGGAAUAAUUGGUGCACUAUCAAAUAGUUGAAGACCCCACCGAGCUGGACUGGCGUUCGACCACACCAUCAUCAAGCACUUUAUGAUUUUGCUUGCCACCCUCUCCGCCUGGGAGGUCCCAUUGCUCUCGGACCUUGGCGCUUCGCACUUGGCCUCACCUCUCUUUCGUUGUUUGGAUGAAUUCAUAGCUAAUCAUCCAAUAUAUACCGUACAGUGAGGGAGCGAGGGGGUCACUGCGCACUUAAACCUAUGGGUCCCUUAAUUAUCGUGAACGACUGUAGCUG
rnacentral:lncRNA from 1 species